UACAUUUUACAUGUGAUGUUGAUAAUAUUUAAAGAACCUGAAAGUACUUAAAGUAAGCUUUGAGGUUGGUUUUCUGAAGUGAACUAAAAAUGUCUCUCUUUCUCCCUCUCCAUCCCUCACCCUCCUUCGUCCUGCAGGCUGACUCUGAAGAACCAUCACUGUGACUCCUUGGUGACUUCACAAUGUCCUGCUGACCAGCAUUUCUCCUCUAUCACAUUGGCUCUCUAUCUCUCCUGUACCUUGUAUCCACUCUGUCUACACGUUGGCUCUCUGUCUCUCCUGUCACAUCUACCACUCUGUCUUUUGCAUUUGGCAACUCACACUUUGUAUCCCCCUCUAUCCCACUCUGAUGUUGGUUAUCUUUGGCAAAGGAAUGGAACAAACUCUGGAGCCCUUUUUCUGAACUGAAUUUUGGACUAAACCUCGGUCACAAGGACUUGUCUGUUGGCUCGACUUGGGCUACCGGUACCCGCUUUAUCUGAUUUGAAUAAUCUGAGAGGCUCUCUUCUCUCACCCUCAGCUCUUACCUCUCCUGUCUACAUACACUUAUCUAUAUAAAACACUUGCUGUUUUUACAACUUAGACUAAGCAUUAAUGCUAUUUCUGAGACUUUUUCCAACACAAUUGGUUUGAACAAAACUGAAAAGUGAAUUCAGAAACUAUAAAAGACAACACAUAACAUACACUUUUUUUGUAAUUGAUAAUUGACAAGCUACAUUUCCAAAUAUAUAAUUUGUUAUGAAAGUUCAUCAUUAAAUUAACAUAAUUCAAGCUCUCUUGUUACUUAACAUAAAAAGCUAUUGUAGUAAAAGUCUAUAUUAUGAAAUAAGUUAAUUUCCUGAUCGUUGUUGCUUUGGAGCUCUGCUGUUUGUACCUAAAGCUUUGUUUUGGUAGCAGAUAUCUUCACUCUAGAACGUAACGUACAUUAUUUCAAUCAUUCACUGUGUAUGUGUGUUUAGUUGAUUUACUUUGUUCAUACUGAAAUAAAACAAAGCCA